UCCCUGGUUGUCCAGUGGUUCGGACUCUGCACUCCCAUUGCAGGGGGCCUGGGUUCAAACCCUGGUCAGACAA
rnacentral:tRNA from 1 species